GGAGGGUUGGCAGAGUGGUCGAAUGCAGCCGAUUGAAGAUCGGUGGACCGGUUCGCACCGGUUCGGGGGUUCGAAUCCCCCACCCUCCG
rnacentral:tRNA from 1 species